AGCGAACGUUAGCGGCAGGCCUAACACAUGCAAGUCGAGCGAGAAAGAGGGCUUCGGCCCUCGAGUACAGCGGCGCACGGGUGAGUAACACGUGGGUAAUCUGCCCUUCGGUGGGGGACAACAGCCCGAAAGGGUUGCUAAUACCGCAUACGUCGGCGAGCUCUGCGGAGCACGCCGGGAAAGGUGCCCUCUACUUGUAAGGUGCCGUCGAAGGAGGAGCCCGCGUCCCAUCAGCUAGUUGGUAGGGUAACGGCCUACCAAGGCGAAGACGGGUAGCUGGUCUGAGAGGAUGAUCAGCCACACUGGGACUGAGACACGGCCCAGACUCCUACGGGAGGCAGCAGUGGGGAAUAUUGGACAAUGGGCGAAAGCCUGAUCCAGCCAUGCCGCGUGAGUGAUGAAGGCCCUCGGGUCGUAAAGCUCUGUGGAGAGGGAAGAAGUCCUUGCAGCAUCAGAUCCUGCAAGUUGACGGUACCUCUUUAGCAAGCACC
rnacentral:rRNA from 1 species